UACGUGAGGGUGCAAGCGUUAAUCGGAAUUACUGGGCGUAAAGCGUGCGCAGGCGGUUUUGUAAGUUUGUCGUGAAAUCCCCGGGCUCAACCUGGGAAUGGCGAUGAAGACUGCAAGGCUAGAAUCUGGCAGAGGGGGGUAGAAUUCCACGUGUAGCAGUGAAAAUGCGUAGAGAUGUGGAGGAACACCGAUGGCGAAGGCAGCCCCCUGGGUCAAGACUGACGCUCAUGCACGAA
rnacentral:rRNA from 1 species